rnacentral:misc_RNA from 1 species
AACAUCGCGCACCUGCGGGAACCUGCGGAGGGAUCAUAACUGGUUAAACUUUAUAAACACCAGAGUUUCAAACUCUGUGUUUGCAAACAAAAAACACCCUUCAAAACAGCUAUUCAGUGUCUGAAUUAACUAGUUUAAUAUAAAAACAACUUUUAACAACGGAUCU